AGAGUUUGAUCAUGGCUCAGGAUGAACGCUAGCGGCAGGCUUAAUACAUGCAAGUCGUGGGGCAGCAUGACUGUAGCAAUACAGUUGAUGGCGACCGGCAAAACGGGUGCGGAACACGUACACAACCUUCCUUUUAGUGGAGAAUAGCCCAGGGAAACUUGGAUUAAUACUCCGUAACAUAUAGAAGUGGCAUCACUUCUAUAUUAUAGCAGCAAUGCGCUAGAAGAUGGGUGUGCGGCUGAUUAGAUAGUUGGCGGGGUAACGGCCCACCAAGUCGACGACCAGUAACUGGUGUGAGAGCACGACCAGUCACACGGACACUGAGACACGGGCCCGACUCCUACGGGAGGCAGCAGUAAGGAAUAUUGGUCAAUGGACGCAAGUCUGAACCAGCCAUGCCGCGUGGAGGAUGAAGGUCCUCUGGAUUGUAAACUUCUUUUAUUUGGGAAGAAACCCAUCUUUUCUAAGAUGGUUGACGGUACCAGAUGAAUAAGCACCGGCUAACUCCGUGCCAGCAGCCGCGGUAAUACGGAGGGUGCAAGCGUUAUCCGGAUUCACUGGGUUUAAAGGGUGCGUAGGUGGGCAAGUAAGUCAGUGGUGAAAUCUCCGGGCUUAACCCGGAAACUGCCAUUGAUACUAUUUGUCUUGAAUACUGUGGAGGUCAGCGGAAUAUGUCAUGUAGCGGUGAAAUGCUUAGAUAUGACAUAGAACACCAAUUGCGAAGGCAGCUGGCUACACAAAUAUUGACACUGAGGCACGAAAGCGUGGGGAUCAAACAGGAUUAGAUACCCCGGUAGUCC
rnacentral:rRNA from 1 species